CUUGAACUGACCAGCAACCAACUGCAGACGGAAACUGGGGGGAACAAGAAGGAAGAAGCCGAGGGGCGAAAGCGUUACUAAGAGUCGAUGAUAAAAAAUAGCUUAGUAACCCACCAAGGAAAUAAAGAGAUAAUUUCCAAGGAGCUAGAGAGAAUCUCACUUUAGACCCCUUCGAACUUCGAACUAAAAGA
rnacentral:sRNA from 10 species